rnacentral:pre_miRNA from 1 species
UACAUACUCCCUCCGUCCGGAAAUACUUGUCCUUGAAAUGUUACUUGUCCUAGAAAUGUACAAAAUGGAUGUAUCUAUAACUAAAAUAAGUCUAGAUACAUCUAUUUCUAGGACAAGUAUUUCCGGACGGAGGGAGUAGUUG